GUAGGUGGCAAGCGUUGUCCGGAAUUAUUGGGCGUAAAGCGCGCGCAGGCGGUUCUUUAAGUCUGAUGUGAAAGCCCACGGCUCAACCGUGGAGGGUCAUUGGAAACUGGAGAACUUGAGUACAGAAGAGGAAAGCGGAAUUCCACGUGUAGCGGUGAAAUGCGUAGGGAUGUGGAGGAACACCAGUGGCGAAGGCGGCUUUCUGGUCUGUAACUGACGCUGAGGCGCGAAAGCGUGGGGAGCAAACAGGGAUUAGAUACCCUGGUAGUCCACGCCGUAAACGAUGAGUGCUAAGUGUUAGGGGGUUUCCCGCCCCCUUAGUGCUGCAGCUAACGCAUUAAGCACUCCGCCUGGGGAGUACGGCCGCAAGGCUG
rnacentral:rRNA from 1 species